rnacentral:lncRNA from 1 species
AAAUAGACCCCUCUAAAUGUAGUAGCACUCGGGGUGUGCUAGACGUAUAGAAUGGUUAUUUCACAAAGCCUUCACAGAAUGACGUAUCAUUUGCUUGAAGAACAAAUUUUCUCCAAUAACGAAAGGAAACAAAAAUGAAGGAAACCAAAAUUCUCACCAUUUAGAACCCUAAAAAUCACUUCCACCUUUGCCUGGCCGAAAUCCACCUCCGGCCGACCGAUCGACGAGUCGCCUCUGUGAAGACCACCUUCGGUAGCCCGAUCGACGAAACCCAAUUUAGCAAAAUCCAUAUCAGACAGCCUGUCUUGCUUCCCCUUUUCGUGGAAUCGGAACGUCGUAACCAUCUCUUCCCCAUUUUCAGUCUAUGGAGUAGUGUCCACCCAGUAUCUGAUAGCUUUUACCUUCAGGUAAGUCGAAUUUCAUUUCGUAUUUUAGUUGUUUCCAGAAGCUGGUGUUGUUUGGUAAUUUUGGGAAUAUGGUGGUGUGAAUGGAAGAUUAUGAUUAUGAACGUUGGGCAAAAAUUCGAUUUGCAAAGUUCGAUUUCUGGAAACUUUAGAAUUUGUGCAGCAUUCGGCUAUGUCUUACUCUGUGAUCCAUUUCGAACAUUUUUGGAAUAUGGUCGCACUAGUUGGGAUGGUUAUGAAUUCAUAUUACUGUGUUCUUGAGAAUUAGAUAAAUGUGUAAGAAAAAUUGAUCCUGCCAUGCCUAGAAUUGUUGUUAUUGAUUUAAAGAAAGAAAUCAUAACAUGAAAAUAGUGAUGUUAUUUCCAAAAUCAAAGAAAUUUAAAAUAAAAGAAAUCUUCUUUCUGUUAUGUUAAGCAAUAUACCUAAAUCUUAUGAACUUUAUCCGUUAUGUUAAAUUGUUGAUCAAUCAAACCAAAGUAUCUUUCAAUUCCUAUGAACUGGGAAUUCUGUGGACCUUUUAAUUUGUAUUAGAGUAAGGGGUUGAAGCUUUUCUGUAAAGAAAAAUUCCAGUUUUUGUUGCAGCACUAUAGAAUUUGGAAAAUUUUUCUAAGUGGGGUUGGUGGUUAUUUUGAUAAUUUGCCAAGUUGAAAGAACAAAGGGACCUUUGAAUUUUGGUGUAUUUCUCACGCUACCGAAUUCAUUGUUGUUUUUCUUCCCAGAUGAGGGGGAGGAAUGUUGGUGUCUGUCACGGCUAUAGAAGUACGGACCACUUCUUCCUGAAUUGUCUGAUAAAACAACGAUGCUCAUGGUGUACACACGGACUGCAAAAAUGUUUUGAAGUUGAAAGGGAGACAAGGAACAAAUGGUGAUUAUUCAAAACAUGUAGUGUUAACUGUGGGUAUUUUGAUUGGUUCGUAAAUGAAGAAUCAAGCGGUGAAUCUAGCACGACUAAUGAAGCAGUAAAUCCCGAAGUCAUCCAGGAAGCCGAAGACUUGCUGACCAUGUUCAACAAUCUAGCUAGAAAAGUGCCGAGGUGAAUGGGAAUGAAGAAGGGAAGGGCCGCGCUUCAUAGGUGGUAGGCAAAACUGAUAUUUUGCAAACAUGUUUUUGCUAUCGAAAAACGUAUGUAAAUUAUGGUUUUGUAAUUAGAUGUUUGACUUAAUGUUCGGUAGAAAUAGUUCUUGUUGCCAUAUCAAUCAAUAUGCAUGAACUGAGGACAAGACCAGUUGCAACUCUUUGAGACAUGAAACAUUUAUAAAAAAGAGACAAUCUUAAUCUUAUGUCCAG